rnacentral:lncRNA from 1 species
CGAUUUUAUCGAGCUCGUCAACGCCCAUGAAGACGAGUCUGGAUAAUGCAUCGGCUUUGGCAUUUUCUGCUCUGGCUACCUUCAGAAUUUCAGAACUUACGAACUGCCUCUGGAGGUCAUGUACUUUCAAACAAUAUAAGCUCAUUUUUUCAUCCUUUCUUUCGAAAGACCCCACGAUUUGCCCGACCACUAGUUGCGAGUCACUGAGAACUUUGAUGUGCUCGCACUCAAGAUUUUUCGCGAGUUCUAGGGCAAUAACAACAGCUUCGUACUCUGCCUCGUUAUUGGUAGCCUGGAAUUCAAAUCUGAGAGCGCAUUGUAUCUCUGUAAUCUUGUCCGGACUGGUGAUAAUAAUGUCGGCCCCCGAGCUCGAGCUAUUGGAUGCUCCAUCAACAAAAAUUUUCCAUAUUCCUGAGGUCGAGUUCGGGCUCCCGGUAGGUGUUUCUGAGGAUCUCGGGGUGAGCUCUAAUAUGAAGUCGGCCAAAGCUUGGGCCUUGAUUGCAGGCCGUGGCUUGAAUUCUAUGUCAAAUUCGACGAGUUCAAUUGCCCAUUUCAGCAGUCUUCCUGAGAUGUCCGGCUUCUGAAGUAUAUGUCUGAGAGGUUGGUUGGUGAGCACAACAAUUGGAUGUGACUAGAAGUAUGGCCGUAAUUUUCUAGCAGCUACUACUAAAGCAAGGGCGAGUUGUUCUGCAAGUGUAUAUCGUGUUUCUGCAUCAAGGAGCACUUUACUUACAUAGUAGAUAGGUUGCUGAACUCUUCCUUUUUCCUUUACCAAGACACCGCUUACUGCGUUCUGAGAAACUGCCAAGUAUAAUAGCAGCGUGUCACCGGGUUCGGGUUUAGUAAGGACUGGAGGUGUUGACAAUGUCUGUU